rnacentral:rRNA from 1 species
GAUGAACGCUGGCGGCGUGCUUAACACAUGCAAGUCGAACGAGAAGUGAAGACGGAAGCCUUCGGGCGGAAGACUUUAUUUCGAGUGGCGGACGGGUGAGUAACGCGUGGGUAACCUGCCUCAUACAGGGGGAUAACAGUUGGAAACGACUGUUAAUACCGCAUAAGACCACAGCACCGCAUGGUGCGGGGGUAAAAACUCCGGUGGUAUGAGAUGGACCCGCGUUCGAUUAGCCAGUUGGCGGGGUAACGGCCCACCAAAGCGACGAUCGAUAGCCGAUCUGAGAGGAUGACCGGCCACAUUGGGACUGAGACACGGCCCAAACUCCUACGGGAGGCAGCAGUGGGGAAUAUUGCACAAUGGGGGAAACCCUGAUGCAGCGACGCCGCGUGAGUGAAGAAGUAUUUCGGUAUGUAAAGCUCUAUCAGCAGGGAAGAAAAUGACGGUACCUGAGUAAGAAGCCCCGGCUAACUACGUGCCAGCAGCCGCGGUAAUACGUAGGGGGCAAGCGUUAUCCGGAUUUACUGGGUGUAAAGGGAGCGCAGACGGCUCUGCAAGUCUGAAGUGAAAGCCCGCGGCUUAACCGCGGGACUGCUUUGGAAACUGCAAGGCUUGAGUAUCGGAGGGGCAGGCGGAAUUCCUAGUGUAGCGGUGAAAUGCGUAGAUAUUAGGAAGAACACCGGUGGCGAAGGCGGCCUGCUGGACGAAAACUGACGUUGAGGCUCGAAGGCGUGGGGAGCAAACAGGAUUAGAUACCCUGGUAGUCCACGCGGUAAACGAUGAAUACUAGGUGUUGGUGCCCGAAGGGCAUCGGUGCCGCCGCAAACGCAAUAAGUAUUCCACCUGGGGAGUACGUUCGCAAGUAUGAAACUCAAAGGAAUUGACGGGGACCCGCACAAGCAGUGGAGCAUGUGGUUUAAUUCGAAGCAACGCGAAGAACCUUACCAAAUCUGACAUCCUUCUGACCGCACCGUAAUGGGUGCUUUCCUUCGGGACAGGAGUGACAGGUGCUGCAUGGGUGUCGUCAGCUCGUGUCGUGAGAUGUGGGGUUAAGUCCGCAACGAGCGCAACCCCUAUUGCCCGGUACCCACCAGGGUAAGCUGGGCACUCCGGGCGAGACUGCCCCGGGAUACCGGGGAGGGAGGCGGGGGAUUACGUCAAUUCAUCUUGCCCCCUACG